rnacentral:rRNA from 1 species
CCUACGGGUGGCAGCAGUGGGGAAUAUUGGACAAUGGGGGAAACCCUUAUCCAGCGACGCCGCGUGAGGGAAGAAGGUUUUCGGAUUGUAAACCUCUGUCAGUGGGGACGAUAAUGACGGUACCCACGGAGGAAGCCACGGCUAACUACGUGCCAGCAGCCGUGGCAACACGCCGGCGGCAAGCGUUGUCCGGAAUUACUGGGUGUAAAGGGAGUGUAGGCGGGAUGUCAAGUCAGGAGUGAAAAUUAUGGGCUCAACUCAUAACCUGCUUUUGAAACUGCUAUUCUUGAGUGAAGUAGAGGCAAGCGGAAUGCGUGGUGUAGCGGUGAAAUGCAUAGAUAUUAGGAAGAACCCCAGUGGCGAAGGCAGCAUACUGGGCUUUUACUGACGCUGAGGCUCGAAAGCGUGGGGAGCGAACAGGAUUAGAUACCCUAGUAGUC